rnacentral:lncRNA from 1 species
CUAAACCUAAUGCCCAAUAACCCAAAGCCCAAUAGCCCAACUAUCCUAAACUAACAGAAACCCCAAUUUCACCUUAAGAGUUUUGGUGCCGCUCCUUCGCCACGUUAGUGGUCACGCCGCUCAAGGUCUCUCCCCCUUUUUUUCACCGAAAUGGCAAGGAGAGGCCUCCUAGCACCGUUGACCUUGCAACGAAUACCUACAAAGGAAAAAAAAAGAAAUGAGACAGAGGACAGAGAUAAUAGAAACAACG